rnacentral:misc_RNA from 1 species
AAAGUCGUAACAAGGUCUCCGUUGGUGAACCAGCGGAGGGAUCAUUACCGAGUUUACAACUCCCAAACCCUUUGUGAACCUUACCAUAUCGUUGCUUCGGCGGGUCUCGCCCCGGCGCCCCCGGGCCCGGAACCAGGCGCCCGCCGGAGACCCCAAACUCUCAUGUCUUUAGUGGUUUUCUCCUCUGAGUGUCACAUAAACAAAUAAAUAAAAACUUUCAACAACGGAUCUCUUGGUUCUG